AGCGGAUGCAGCCUCCAGUCAUUCCAAAGGUAGAUGAAAGAGGCUCAUUGCUGGAACAGAUACGAACCAAGUCCUUCAACUUGAAGCCUGCUAUGGUUACCCGACCCAGCAUUCAGGGUCCUAAAACCAACUUAAGAUUAGCAGCAAUUUUGGAGAAAGCCAAUGCAAUUCGCCAGGCAUUGGCCGGAAGUGAUGAAGAUGAAGACGAUGACGAUGAUGGUUGGAGUGACUCUCGAAAAGGCACAGACAAUGAAACAUUUGUUCGGAUACUUGUUCAUAAUGUUCGUUUC